CCGCCGGUGCCGCCGCCUCCCUCCUUCCCGCCCCGCCCCGCCACUGCGCAGGCGCGGCGCCUGGCCCCGCCUCUGCGCAGUCGCAGCCCUGGCCGGCCGCGCCCUCUUCACGCACGCGCACUGCGCACGCUCCCCGACAGAGUCCCGGGCGAGCGGGGCCGCCGUGGCCCUGAAGAGAUCCGAGCGGUUCCGCUGGCCCGACGGAAGGGAGGCGACGGCAGGCUGCGGAGCUGCGCCCUGGAGGUCAGCGCCGGGCGGAAGUCACCUCCAAGCUCCGGGAGCCCGACGUUUCGGGCGGAACCGGGUAGCGGCUCCUGAUUCGGAUCCGUAGGGCGCACCCUGGUCGCCCGCGCGGCCACUCCUCCGGCCUCAGUUUCCAGUGGCUGAAGGAGCCCGGGGCGCCGGAACUCAGCUGUAUUACAGGCCAGGUCCUUGAACAGCAAAUGGAGUGUCUGGUGCAAGCCUCGAACUGCUUUUCCAGAAGCAAGCGUGGUGAUGUCAGAUGCGCGUGAGCCUGGAGUCAGAAGGUACCUGCUGAAGAGAGAUGCUGUGGCAUGCAUUCUUGAUGGAACUCCUGGGUCUGGGCAAGUUAAUGCCAUCCCUUUGACCAGCAGGUUUAAGAAACAGAGGGAAGGACUGGAGAGAUGGGGCAGCAGUUAGGAGCACUGACUGUUCUUCCAGAGGACCCUGGUUAAAUCCUCAGCACCCACAUGGUGUCUCACAACCGUCUGGAACGCCAGUCUCAGGAUCUGUCUGUCCUCUUCCAGCCUUGGCAGGCACUACAGACACAUGUUUAGACACACAUUCAGACUUUCAUACACAUAAAAUAAAAACCUCAAAAAAUAAUAAGAAAAAACAGAUGGAAAGGAAGAGGCAGUGGUGGCACACACCUUUAAUCCCAGCACUCAGAAGGCAGAGGCAGAGAGAUCUCUGUGAGUUCCAGGACAGCCAGGGCUACACAGAGAUAUCCUGUCUUGAAAAACAAAACAACAGCAAAAACAUCUUAGGGUAGACUUGGGAGAAGCGCCCCGGUCUCCCUGACCUGUGAAGCAGUCGAUCCCAUCUGCACACCUGCUCCCAGGUCAGGAAGGCCGAAGUUUUGAUGCCAACUUUGAAAUCCACCCCUGAAAAGCUUUUGGAUAAGCAGUGUAGCCUUGUCUCAGAGCCUGUUUCCUCACAGAGUAGGACUGUCUGGCCUGUGCCUGUGACAACAGUGAGGGAUGCUAGUCAGUUAUCAUUGAGCCGUUUCCUAUGUAGACUUCCACAAUUUCCAAGGCAGCAACCUGGUGACACGCUGACAGAUACUCCGGGAAAGUAAAGCAGAAUUGACCACAGGGAGAAGAGAGACCCAGGUUUGUCCCAGGUGUCAUCCAGCACCCAGUACAUCUUAACUGUAACCAUUUAAUAGUUACUUAUCCUGUAACUAUUUAAUGGCUUCUUACUAUUUACUAUACCCCAUGUUGUAGAGGAUAAUACUGAAAAUUUUCCCUCCAAGAAUUUACAGACUCAGCAGAGCUCAGCAGAUACACUCAUGAGGAAUUACAAGUGAAUGAAUUGGAACAGUUGUCAGGUCUCCACCUAGACUUCAGAGGAGACAAACUGCCUGUUAGCAGGAGUGAUGGACGGAAUGUAAAAAAAUAAAUUAAUAAAUGAACAAAAAAAAGUGA